rnacentral:rRNA from 1 species
GGGAAUAUUGGACAAUGGGCGAAAGCCUGAUCCAGCCAUGCCGCGUGUGUGAAGAAGGUCUUCGGAUUGUAAAGCACUUUAAGUUGGGAGGAAGGGCAGUAACCUAAUACGUUGCUGUCUUGACGUUACCGACAGAAUAAGCACCGGCUAACUACGUGCCAGCAGCCGCGGUAAUACGUAGGGUGCAAGCGUUAAUCGGAAUUACUGGGCGUAAAGCGUGCGCAGGCGGUUGUGCAAGACAGAUGUGAAAUCCCCGGGCUCAACCUGGGAAUUGCAUUUGUGACUGCACGGCUAGAGUGUGUCAGAGGGGGGUAGAAUUCCACGUGUAGCAGUGAAAUGCGUAGAUAUGUGGAGGAAUACCGAUGGCGAAGGCAGCCCCCUGGGAUAACACUGACGCUCAUGCACGAAAGCGUGGGGAGCAAACAGGAUUAGAUACCCUGGUAGUCCACGCCCUAAACGAUGUCUACUAGUUGUCGGGUCUUAAUUGACUUGGUAACGCAGCUAACGCGUGAAGUAUACCGCCUGGGGAGUACGGUCGCAAGAUUA